GAUCCAUCGGAAGAGACAAUAGACAAAGGAACAAUAUUGUAGUCCUAGGUAGAUUUACUUGGUAGAGUCGGUUUUAUAAACGAGUGGUACACAAUUUGUUGUCAAAGAAUAAUAUUUUAUUUAUUUUUUGAAAUUAAGUCUUCUUAUGGGGUAGAUGUGUACAUUGGCUUUAUUGGUUAAAUGUAUUUAUAAUUAACAAAUAUGUAUCUUGAGAGAAAGAGCAUGUAUCCUUCUUUUGCAGUGGUUUUCAGUGGAAAUGGAGGCAUUUUUUUCGUUUAUCGAGUUGUCAGUGAAGGGUCAAAGUUAAAUUUGGGUGAGAUAGGGAGCAUUUUCACUCCAUCUUCGAUUUGUAGCAUUCGAUCGCGGAAGAGAAUAACGUAGAAAGGCAUCAGAUGGAGCAAUGCUGCACCAGGUCUUUCGAUGAGUACAAUAAAUUAACAUUAACGGUAGUACAUUGGUAUUGUGUUGGUCUGGGAUCCUCGCUUGCGGUGGUUUUUUUUUUCUUCUUUUUGUGAUUCUGGAAAGUAAUUUCAUUUAUAAGUUAAGAUUUUUAUAUAUAUUAUUGUGGGGAUUUGAUUGUCGGGGUCGUGGAGUAUAAAAUGAUUGAUUUAUUGUUUAAUUUGUCAUCCGUUACUAUUCAAAGUAGGUGGUGUAUAUCAUUUUCAAAUUUAGUGUUUGAAACCCAAAAAUUGUGGGCAUUUUUCCUUUUUGUUGAUACUCUUGCCUCGGUUGUGAAUAGGCUAAUUGUGUUUGGAAUUUUGAAUGAUUUUUUUUUUUUCAAUUUAUAGAUAUUGUACAGUUUCAUGAGAAAAUUUUAGAGUUUCGGAGGAGGUUAAUGCCAAGUACCUCCUUAUCAUUCAUUGUUGAACAUCAGCUUGAGUCCGUACGGUCUCUCUCACUUGUUGGACCAUUAAUUGGUGAGUUCUUUGCUUGGAACUAUUUUCCUUCUCUUUUGUGGUCCUCCAUUUGUGAGUUUUCUGUGUGCAACUAUUUUCCUUCAGAAUAGACCAAUUGUCUUUAACCUCACUCAUGUAUAUAUGUAUUCAAUGGUAAAAGUUUUGAUGCUAUAGAUUGGUCAUUGAUGUUGCUUUUCUAAUCAAUGAUGGAAAACCCAAUUUGAAAUUUGGUUCAACUAUUGAAAUUUCUUGAACUCGCUAUUAUACAAUGCUAUCAUUUUGGAGCUCAUUUAGUGUUUGUAUUUAUUACAUCUAGGUAGGAAUUGUGAAUUGUUUUGUCAGUAAUGUAAGAUUAGUUAUGUUCUACUCUGUUUUGUAUAUUUCUUAUUAGUGACAAUGUGCAAGUUAAAGUUGGAGUCAAAGGGGCUGAAGAAUGUACUCAGAUUAUGAAGAAUGAUUUAAUUAUAGAUUGUCAAGAGUAGAUCUUGAAACACGUGCUGGGUUUCUUAGCAAUUUGUUUGUAAAAAAACUAAUUCCUAGCUUACAAAGAGUGGGAAAUGCCUUAGCAGGUCCUCCUGAACUAAUGGCUGCCUUACUUUCUCCUACUUAUUGGCAGGUUUUCGCAAUUUGUUACAUUAAAUUGUUAUUAUAUAAUAUUUAAAUGAAUGGAUUUUUUUUGAAGUGAUUAGUAGAGUUUGCUUUCAUACUCUUAUGCAUAUUUACAAUGAUUUUAUGUAUGUGGUUCUGAGUUCAAGGUAUUUGUUUUCCUUUGAAUAUUUUAUUUUAUUUUCUGGUGUAAUUCCAGCUUAGCGAGACUAUUCAAUAGUCCAUGAAAAAAAUUCAUAAACAUGUUAUUUCUUUCAAUUAAUUAAUUCUUUUGGAAGCUUAACACUUUGGGGUUGCUUCCUACGCAUACAAAUACAUAUUGGAGUGUUCAAAGUCUAUUGUUGCCGACAUCAUUCAGCGGAGCAACAAAUGUCUUCUCCGGCAAUCAUUAAUGGCGUUGUUCUCACUGGAAUUACUCAAUUUGAAAGCCUAGGGGUAUUGUUAUUUGUUAACGUUUUUCAUGUUCUUACAGGGUUUGGUUACAUGAGAUGGUUGCAAUAAUAGAUCGUGGUUCGAACUGGAAAUUGGUUUAUUCAUAGACUUUUUUUUUGAACUAUUUACUCAGAUCAUCGUUUAUGCUAUCUGAAACUUCUAGUCAAAAGUGAAGGGAAAGUUAUGGAGUUGUUCAUGUAGUCUUUGAAACUCAUGACUUUCACCGCAAGUUAAAUUUUGUACAUGGAUUUAUUUUACAUGUUAUUUCUCUUUCAAACCCUAAUAGUUCACUUGUAAUUUAAUAUUUCUAUUUAUUAUCAGCUCAUUACCAAUUUUUCGUC